rfam:Brachypodium distachyon strain Bd21 chromosome 4, whole genome shotgun sequence.
GUGGUACUCCCUCCGUCCAACAAAAAAUGUCUCAAGUUUGUUAAAAUUAAAUGUAUCUAGACAUAACUUAGUGUAUAUAUGCAUUCAAAUUUAGGCAAAGUUAAGACAUUCUUUGUUGGUUGGAGGAAGUAAUUC